AUUUUACAUACUAGUCUAGUCAGUUGCAAUAACAGUUGAAGCAGCAGGAAACAGCUAAGUACACAUGCAAGUGUUAAACCAACACAACUUCCACAGCCACCUUGUCUCAAAUAUUCGAUUGCAUUCUAAGAUAUCUUUGUUCAAAUCAAUUGUGACUACUAUACCAAAAGAUUGUAAAAUGGCCCAAUCAAGGUUGUUCACGAAAGCCAAAGUUGAAUUUUCGAUUAAAAAAAAAGUUUUCGAAACUCUAUUUUCGUUUCG